rnacentral:rRNA from 1 species
CACGUAGGGACCAAGCGUUGUCCGGAUUCAUUGGGCGUAAAGAGCUCGUAGGCGGUUCGAUAAGUCGGGUGUGAAACCUCCAGGCUCAACCUGGAGACGCCACCCGAUACUGUCGUGACUAGAGUCCAGUAGGGGAGCGUGGAAUUCCUGGUGUAGCGGUGGAAUGCGCAGAUAUCAGGAGGAACACCGGUGGCGAAGGCGGGUCUCUGGGCAGUGAACUGACGCUGGAGGAGCGAAAGCAUGGGGAGCGAACAGG